UCUAGUUAGGCCCCAGUGUGUUUCUAGUUAGGCCCCAGUGUGUUUCUAGUUAGGUCCCAGUGUGUUUCUAGUUAGGCCCCAGUGUGUUUCUAGUUCGGUCCCAGUGUGUUAGGUCCCAGUGUGUUUCUAGUUAGGCCCCAGUGUGUUUCUA